UACGUAGGGCGCAAGCGUUGUCCGGAAUUAUUGGGCGUAAAGAGCUCGUAGGCGGCCAGUUGCGUCCGCUGUGAAAGCCCGGGGCUUAACCCCGGGUCGGCAGUGGAUACGGGCAGGCUAGAGGUAGGUAGGGGAGAAUGGAAUUCCCGGUGUAGCGGUGAAAUGCGCAGAUAUCGGGAGGAACACCGGUGGCGAAGGCGGUUCUCUGGGCCUUACCUGACGCUGAGGAGCGAAAGCGUGGGGAGCAAACAGG
rnacentral:rRNA from 1 species